CACAUCCACUGGAAGGGAAAAAACCCUCCAGAAAACUCUUCCAGGACUGGGAGUCGGGCCCAGGGUUCGUGCAGAGAGUAAAUGGCCUUUGGGUCCUCUGCCCUCUGCUGCCCUGCAGCUGCCAGUGUAUCCUCACCUCUCUUUUUGCCUUCAGCUCAGAGACUGUCUGGGAUGUCUGCACCUUGGUGUUCCCUCCCCCACCUUCCUCAUGAGCUUGAGGGUCUCAGUCAGGCAGUCUCGCCCACCUUGCCAGAUACUGUGUCAGGUGCUGGGAGUUUCUGUCCUCCAGGACCUUACAGUGUCGGGGGAAAAGCUGAUAUACUGAGAUAACCAAUCGUGAUGGCCAGAUUUUAUUUUCAUUUUUAAACUGAUUACAAUUAAAUUAUAAUCAAUUUUAGUUGGUUUACAUUGUUGUGAUAAUGGCCAGCAUUCAUUUUUUGAGCGUUCCUUGAACACCAGGAGUUCUGCCGAGCACUGACCCCCCGGGAACCAUCCUACGUGAUGGGUACACAGUUAUCCACAUUGAGAAAACCAAGGCUUAGAGAAACUGAAUGUUUUGCUUAAGGACACGCAGCAGCGUCAGGACUUGAACGCAGGUCCGGGCCACAGAGGCAAAGCCGCUGGUGCUUGAGGAUGCGCCGGAAGGCCGCGACCCACCCACCUCUCCUGGGCCAGGGGCUCGGACGCAGCAGGACCGCUAGGAAGGGGCGCUGACGGCCCCGAAUUCGAGCUUCGAGGGCGCCUUGCAGCCCCAGGAUCGGCCUGGGAGGAGCGGUUUCCGCGGGAGACUAGCGAGCUGCCCGCGCAGGCACAGCCCAGAGGGGCUCGGCGGACCGGAAGAUCCAGCAACAGACUCGAGGGGCGCUGUUGUAGCGGGAGGGAGGCGGGCGCGCCUCUCCCCGGUCACACGCGCACCUCAGCGCCGCGCCGGGGUUCUGUUCCCCGUGAGUUCCUGCCGAGGUUGCCACCGCUCCCUGCUCUAACUUCUUUUCCCACUGGAUUAUUUGGAAGGAAAUCCAACACAUCAAAUGAUAUUAUCCAUAAAUACUUCAGCAUGUAUCCCUAAAAGAAAAAGGCACAUAUGCACCAAUUUUUGAAGGAGCUUUCAAGGUGUCUCUGGACCCCCAGUAGGCUGCUAAGGAUUCCAUAGUCCCAGCUGCCUUCUUCUGCUGCCCACUGCUUGGAUUUCACAGCAAUUUCCAGACAUAGGAAUCUUUUGAUGGGGAAACAUCCUCCACAGCCUUGGAAGGCAGGCCUGAGGUGCCAUGGCUGCAUCCUGGAUGUCUGGAGCUCAUUUUAAUCAGCAGCUGGGAAGCUCCCUAAGGCUUCCAUGAGCUGGCCACCUUGGCUUGGCUCAGCAUUGACCUCUCACUGCCUCGGGCUCUGCUGUUGUCCGUGGGAGGGGAAAGGAUCUCUUAUACUUUUCAUCUUCUUUAAUCUACCCUGGUCACGCCCUGGAUGAAAGUUUACUGAUUUCCUUUGCAAUUUCUGCCCAGAUCUUCCAUCAUCUUCUAUCCUUUGGCCCUGUCAGAAUUUUCCAAGGGGUCCUAUAGCUAACAGACAACGUUCAGCUUCAGAGAAGAAAGGAAAUGGGUAACCAUAUUCCGCACAGAGUGUCUUCCUUUGAUGCUCUCUUUAUUUAGUAUGCUAAGUACAUAUGGAAUUAAUUUCUUUCUGAAGCCUUACAAGUUGCUAAAUGACACAUUUAUUUCCAGAAGGAAGGUAAGUAUAGUCCAGGUGCGGAGGUGGGUUAGGUUUUUUUUUAAAGAAAUGUUUUUUAUCCAUUUGGAGAAGAGCUGAAGGUGCUACUUCAUCAUGGCAGCAUCCAGGAAUUUGAAGAGUGGUCUUGAGGAGGGGACUUAGCCUUAUCUUUGCCUUCUGGGCCAAGAAGAUAUAUUUGUCUUUUCCAGGAAGAAGGGAUUUGAAUGAUAAACUGUGAGAGCUUGAGGAGAACUUGAAAAACAUUCAUUCCAAUCAUUCCCUUAAAUUAAUGAAGAAACGGAGGCCCUGAGGGGUGAAAUGAUUUCCUAAGGAGAUUCCCAAUUUUUAGUCUAUUUGUGUUCCCAGCACACCUUGGCAUCUGUUGUAAACUUUGGAAGCCACUUUGGAAUCCGCUAGUGACCUGAGCAGAAGACUGUGGCAUGGCCCCCUCUUGCUACAUAGCCACAAGGGAGGCAUAUAGUAUCUUUUCUUCUAGAGACUGGGAGAAGGAUUCAUCUUUAAGUCACAAAGAGACAAUGACAGAUUCCCCAAGCUGCAUACAUCCAUGAGAAAAUGACAAACAUAUGAGGUGCUGAAGCCGAAAAAUGCUCCCAUUGAUACAGCCGUGAAGAGGGAAACCCUGCACCCUUUCAGGCAGCAGGAACUAUGCUUUGCUUGGAACAGGUGUGAGUUCAGCUUCAAGUGUUUCAGGAGGGUCAGAGUUGAAGGUAUUUGAAGCAAAAGAUAAUUUAUAAAGACACAGGGAAUGAUUUAUCAUUCAGGAUCAUAAAGAAUGAAAAAACACCACAUACCAUUGAGACCAUGUUCAAGUUUCCACCCCUACAUUUCAGUUGAAAAAUUUCAAAUCCACAGUAAAGUUGAAAGGAUAAUAAACUUAACAUCUAUACAUCCUUCACCUAGAUUUACCAAUUGUUAACGUUUGAAAGUUGCAGAUAUUGUGAUACUUUACUUUAGCAUGCAUCUUUUGAGAAUAAUGACAUUUCCCCUAUGUAACUAUAAUACUAGGAUCACUGAGAGAAUUAGGAAUAAUUCUGAUAUAUAGUUUGUAUUCAGUUUCUCCCCAAAUGUCUUUUUAUGAAUAUUUUUUCAAUUUGGGACCCAGUCAAGAUUCAUGAAUUGUGUUUAGUUCUGAUGUCUCAUUCAGUAUAGAAUAACUGCCCUCCUCUUUUGGAUGACUCUCUUUCUUUGAGGAGAGCAAACCUGUGCCUUGUAGAAUGUACUACAUUCUGCAUUGGUCCGGUUGUUUUCUCUUGAUUCCUUUUAGGGAAAUAUUUUUUGGCAAAAAUAUUGGUGAGCUUGUG